rnacentral:rRNA from 1 species
AGCAGCCGCGGUAAUUCCAGCUCCAAUAGCGUAUAUUAAAGUUGUUGCAGUUAAAAAGCUCGUAGUUGAAUUUCGGGAUUGACACAUCGGUCGUGCCUUAAGGGGUAUGAACUGGUGUAGUCAAUUUCUCACCUUCUGGAGAACCGCGAUGCCCUUAAUUGGGUGUCGCGGGGAACCAGGACCUUUACUUUGAAAAAAUUAGAGUGUUUAAAGCAGGCAUUUUGCUUGAAUACAUUAGCAUGGAAUAAUAAAAUAGGACGGCAUGAUUCUAUUUUGUUGGUUUCUAGGAUCACCGUAAUGAUUAAUAGGGAUAGUUGGGGGCAUUAGUAUUCAAUUGUCAGAGGUGAAAUUCUUGGAUUUAUUGAAGACUAACUACUGCGAAAGCAUUUGCCAAGGAUGCUUUCAUUAAUCAAGAACGAAAGUUAGGGGAUCGAAGACGAUCAGAUACCG